AUUUGUACUACCCCAGCUCUCAACACAGCGCAGAAUUUUCACCCUUAGAUUGUUUCGCUGAUUACGAUGAGAGAUGGCGUUUUCUUUUUCUUGAGGAAAACGAGAUACUGAUUUUGCAGAGGAGAAUAUUUUAUUCAACAUGACUGUUUGAUGAUAAAGUUAGUUGGAACUCUAAUUCAAACACCGAUAACCGUUGUUGCUGCUGCCUUACAGCCACAGGCAGGAAAAUUAUUGUUUUAUUCAGAAAAUUGGAAAGCUGCUGGAGUAAUCUGGUGUUUAUGCUCAUUUUAAUCAUUUCGUGCCAGCUAGUGAAUGCCGAAAGGCAUGUCGAAUUCAAGUUGAGCUGCUGCGUGAUGUCUGGAAGCAAGCAAUCCAGCCGUUGCGUUCAGUCAUGAACAGAAAUCUGAUGGCUGUCAAUAGGUGGCUGUCAAAAGUUGGCUGGAAUGUCCACCAGGUAGCGCGAGUGUCUUCAUGGACGCAUUUCGGCCAUUUUGUUCCAAGACGUAGCAGAAAUGGGUUGCUGGUCGUGACGUUUCUCACGAUGAAAAUUAAAAGGUGAUUUAGCAUGUGGAAACCACUUUGCCAAGUCAUUCAACUCAGACUUGGAAGUGCCUGUACAUUGCCGAAAUGGCGUGCCUCGUGCGUCUCGCUGCCUGUUCUUAGGCGUAUGUCUCAUCCCAUACAACAGCAAAAAGUAUAACAAAUACUUCUUUAACGCUGUUGGUUUCCUUGUUGCCGCCAAAUGGUGAAAGGUGUGACAAAGACAGAUUGAACUGUUGUAUGCAGCAUGAGGUUGCAGUGUAAUCCAGAAGUAGCUGUGCUGGUGUUGCCCUUAAAUUGCUGUGAUGUUGUAGCUGAGCUGUUCCAUAUGGGUUCCUGACUUGAAAAUUUUUGUGUUGUUGUUUGCCUGCCAGUAUUUUGUGUUGUGGUUUCAAAUAGUUUGAUCUGUCGUCUUUUGAGUUUUCAUUCAAUCAUGCGGUAUACAACUGAGGCAACUUGAUCAAUAUCAGGUUUGACACAGUCGAGAACUGCUAGAUUAAACAAGCUUUCUGCGCCAAACAAAUAAUAACUUACAUCAUGUUAUUAUCGCGGUAGAGAAAGCGACAGGCCCCCCCCCUGGGGGUCACAGGAAAAAUAAAUGUAUGUGAAUAUUAAAAAAUAAAUUUUGAAAGUAAUAAAAUAUU
rnacentral:lncRNA from 1 species